CUCUGCCGCACCUUCGCCCACUCUGGAGAGGUCGAUCGUAACUCGUCGUUCAGUGAUCCGAGAGGUGGAGGGCUAUUGGUUGAGAGCGCCCGUCAGACCGGAUUGGAGUGAACCAUGAUUGGUUAGCACCGACACGAGCAGCAACCACAGUCUUCCUGGAGAGAUGACGCUUGCUUGAACUGGAGGAAUUGAUGAAUGACAUUUGGAGGAGAAGAGAGCACAGUACCCUUCUAGAACAGCAUGAACUGAACCAAAGCACAGAGCUUCCAUCUCCAACCAUUUCUCGCACCUGUCUGAGGGCUCCUGAAUGCCAGUGUGACUAAUGAGUGCCAGAGGCAGCAGAUGGGAAGGUCUUCGAGUAGCACACCCAGAACCUGCCACGCCUCUACCCGGAAUCCGGCGGUGGCUGCAGGAGACCUCGGCGCCCUCCUGGUUUCCAUGGAGACACUACGUGACGUCUGGUCGACUCCACUGCGGCCGGAAACCUGAGCAUUUGUAUUUAAAUGAGGAAAGUGGGGGAAGGGACAGUAAAAGGAGGGGAGGAAACGGGAGUAGGGAGAAUGAUGGAAGUGAGCCUGUGAGCUUCAAGGACUCAACAGGGGAAUAGAAAAAUCCCUGAACGCAGUCACCUCGGGCUCUCAGGAGAAAUCAGAAAGAAGGCAGCAGGAGGCAGAGGGGUGCUUAUUUCAAGCAUAAGAAGUAUCUUCUAAAGACUCAUUUCUGAUUUCGGGUUGUAAGGGACAGAAUUACACAGAUAACUGCGAACCCCCUUUCCUUGUGGGGGACUCCCAGCUGUUAACGCUGCUCAGUUUCAUUUCCAGGAAGCAAGAGAGACUUUUCAUUCGGCCGAAAGUCUCAAGUGUUGUAGGUUCUCUGCUGGUGUAGGAGGGGGCCACACCUCUUUCACU